rnacentral:rRNA from 1 species
GACUCCGUGAAGCUGGAUUCGCUAGUAAUCGCGCAUCAGCCAUGGCGCGGUGAAUACGUUCCCGGGCCUUGUACACACCGCCCGUCAAGCCAUGGAAGCCGGGGGCGCUUGAAGUGCGUUGCCGCAAGGCGCGCCCUAGAGCGAAACCGGUGACUGGGGCUAAGUCGUAACAAGGUAUC